rnacentral:rRNA from 1 species
UAAGCAACCUGCCUAUCAGAGGGGAACAACAGUUAGAAAUGACUGCUAAUACCGCAUAUGCCUUGAGUAUUGCAUGAUACAAAAGGGAAAGGAGCAAUCCGCUGAUAGAUGGGCUUGCGUCUGAUUAGCUAGUUGGUGGGGUAAAGGCCUACCAAGGCGACAAUCAGUAGCCGGACUGAGAGGUUGAACGGCCACAUUGGGACUGAGAUACGGCCCAGACUCCUACGGGAGGCAGCAG